rnacentral:snRNA from 1 species
AUCGCUUCUCGGCCUUUUGGCUAAGAUCAAGUGUAGUAUCUGUUCUUAUCAGUUUAAUAUCUGAUACGUCCCCUACCCGGGGACCAUAUAUUAAAUAGAUUUUGGAACAGGGAGAUGGAAUAGGGGCUUGCUCCGUCCACUCCACGCAUCGACCUGGUAUUGCAGUAUCUCCAGGAACGGUGCACUCCCU